GGUUACUGCUUUCGGUGUUCGCCUAAGCCAUGCGAGUCAUAUGUUCGUAAGAACAUGGCGUACUGCUCAGUAACACGUGGAUAACCUGCCCUUGGGUCCGGCAUAACCCCGGGAAACUGGGGAUAAUUCCGGAUAACGCACAUAUGCUGGAAUGCUUUAUGCGUCAAAUGGAUUCGUCCGCCCAAGAAGGGGUCUGCGGCCUAUCAGGUAGUAGUGGGUGUAAUGUACCUACUAGCCUACGACGGGUACGGGUUGUGAGAGCAAGAGCCCGGAGAUGGUUUCUGAGACAUGAAUCCAGGCCCUACGGGGCGCAGCAGGCGCGAAAACUUUACAAUGCGGGAAACCGUGAUAAGGGGACACCGAGUGCCAGCAUCAUAUGCUGGCUGUCCGGGUGUGUAAACUACACCUGUUAGCAAGGGCCGGGCAAGACCGGUGCCAGCCGCCGCGGUAACACCGGCGGCCCGAGUGGUGAUCGUGAUUAUUGGGUCUAAAGGGUCCGUAGCCGGUUUGGUCAGUCCUCCGGGAAAUCUGACAGCUUAACUGUUAGGCUUUCGGAGGAUACUGCCAGACUUGGAACCGGGAGAGGUAAGAGGUACUACAGGGGUAGGAGUGAAAUCUUGUAAUCCCUGUGGGACCACCUGUGGCGAAGGCGUCUUACCAGAACGGGUUCGACGGUGAGGGACGAAAGCUGGGGGCACGAACCGGAUUAGAUACCCGGGUAGUCCCAGCCGUAAACGAUGCUCGCUAGGUGUCAGGCAUGGCGCGACCGUGUCUGGUGCCGCAGGGAAGCCGUGAAGCGAGCCACCUGGGAAGUACGGCCGCAAGGCUGAAACUUAA
rnacentral:rRNA from 1 species